CUCUUCGGAGUGUAAACCACUGUUGCCCGGGACGAACAGCUCGAUUAAUCGAGCCUGACGGUACCGGGUGAGGAAGCACCGGCUAACUCCGUGC
rnacentral:rRNA from 1 species